rnacentral:rRNA from 1 species
AGUGAACGCUGGCGGUAUGCCUAACACAUGCAAGUAGAACGGCAGCACCGUGAGAGCUUGCUCUCGCGGGUGGCGAGUGGCGGACGGGUGAGGAAUGCAUCGGAAUCUACUUUUUCGUGGGGGAUAACGUAGGGAAACUUACGCUAAUACCGCAUACGACCUACGGGUGAGAGCAGGGGAUCUUCUGACCUUGCGCGAUUGAAUGAGCCGAUGUCGGAUUAGCUAGUUGGCGGGGGAAAGGCCCACCAAGGCGACGAUCCGUAGCUGGUCUGAGAGGAUGGUGAGCCACCCUGGCACUGAGAGACGGUCCAGACUCCUACGGUAGGCAGCAGCGGAGAAUCUUGGGCAAGGGGGGCGAGCCUGAUACAGGGAUACCGCGUGGGUGAAGAAGCAGCCCGGGUUGUAAAGCCAUGUUGUUGGGACAGAACAGCAGCACGUUUACACACCGCGGUUGUGACGGUACCGGAAGAAUAAGCUCCGGCUAACUUCGUG